ACUAUCUUUAAGAAGAAAGUUUUGUAAGAGUUUUCGUCUUGGAAGUUUGUUUUAGAGCAAGAAUAGUGAAUUUAAGCGUUAUGUCGCUUUAGGAGGAAAUUUCAUGUUAGAAGGUAAAGUAAAAUGGUUCAACUCUGAAAAAGGAUUCGGAUUCAUCGAAGUAGAAGGUCAAGACGAUGUAUUCGUUCACUUCUCUGCUAUUCAAGGCGAAGGCUUCAAAACUUUAGAAGAAGGCCAAUCUGUUUCUUUCGAAAUCGUUGAAGGAAACCGCGGACCACAAGCUGCUAACGUAACAAAAGCAUAAAUUGUUUAAAAACCCUGCCGGUGUACGCCGGCAGGGUUUUU
rnacentral:sRNA from 1 species